rnacentral:rRNA from 1 species
AACCUUUACAAUGCACGAAAGUGUGAUAAGGGAAUCCUAAGUGCUUUGCUUUUAGCAAAGCUUUUGCCAAGAGCAAAAAUCUUGGCGAAUAAGUGGUGGGUAAUACCUGUGCCAGCCGCCGCGGUAACCCAGGAGCCACAAGUGGCAACCGCUUUUAUUGGGCCUAAAGCGUCCGUAGCCGGUUCAGCAAAUUUCCUGUGAAAUCGUUGGGCUCAACCUAACGUCGUGCAGGGAAGACUACUGGACUAGGGACCGGGAGGCGUCAGAGGUAUUC